rnacentral:rRNA from 1 species
AUAGAUUCCCUCAGUAACGGCGAGCGAAGAGGGAUAAGCUCAAAUUUUAAAUCUGUUGGGUUCCGCUUAACAGAGUUGUAUUUUGAAGAAACGUUUUCUGCAUCCAGGAUUAGCCUAAAUCCUUUGGGAUAAGGUAUCAUGGAGGGUGAGAAUCCCGUUCAUGGUUAAUCUUAAGGAAGCUCUACGAUACGUUUUCCAAGAGUCGAGUUGUUUGGGAUUGCAGCUCAAAAUGGGAGGUAAAUUUCUCCUAAGGCUAAAUAUUGGCGAGAGACCGAUAGCGAACAAGUACCGUGAGGGAAAGAUGAAAAGAACUUUGAAAAGAGAGUUAAACAGUACGUGAAAUUGUUGAAAGGGAAACGAUUGAAGUCAGUCAUACCAACGGGAAAUCAACCUUUUGAGCUUGGUCUCGUGGGUUUUGAAGAGUUUCAAAGCCUUCGGAUUCGCGGGAUUGGGAUCUCUCUGGUGUACUUUUUCGUACGGUUAGUCAACAUCGGUUUUGAAUGUCAUAAAAUGACUGGAGGAAUGUAGCUUCGAUCUCGUAUUGAAGUGUUAUAGCCUUUGGUAGAUGUGAUGUUUGAGACCGAGGAUUGCAACGGAUACCCUUCAGGGCUAUUCGUCUGAUCUCUGAUACGUUGCCCUGAUGUUGAAAGCUUGCUUAUGAUGUUAGGGUAUUACGGUCAAAAGGUUAGAACGAAUUACAUUCGUUAAGGAUGUUGACGUAAUGACUUUAAACGACC